rnacentral:misc_RNA from 1 species
GAUGAAGAACGCAGCGAAAUGCGAUAAGUAAUGUGAAUUGCAGAAUUCAGUGAAUCAUCGAAUCUUUGAACGCACAUUGCGCCCCCUGGUAUUCCGGGGGGCAUGCCUGUUCGAGCGUCAUUUCACCACUCAAGCCUCGGUUGGUAUUGGGCAACGCGGUCCGCCGCGUGCCUCAAAUCGACCGGCUGGGUCUUCUGUCCCCUAAGCGUUGUGGAAACUUUCGCUAAAGGGUGUUCGGGAGGCUACGCCGUAAAACAACCCCAUUUCUAAGGUUGACCUCGGAUCAGGUAGGGAUACCCGCUGAACUUAAGCAUAUCAAUAAGCGGAGGA